ACACUACUCAUAUGACUGCUGCUGUCCAUUACAGGAAACCAAACACAACUUUAUUCACAAAAAGCAGGUACCCAGCUCCGCCUUGUAAUCCAGACCCAGGCAAAUGUGUAGACUUGGCACUAACCAAUAGUGGCUAAAUAGCAUCACCUGAGGCAGUCUGACCAAUCAAGACUCAGGAAGAACCUCAAAGCCACAGAGUCAGGUUGGUUUCUACCAAGUCGUAAAGUCUAAUCUCUGUUUCUAUGGUUCUGUUUUAUUUCUUUAGUAUAUAUUAAGAGUCACUAACAUAGAGGAAGGAUCAGGUAAGUAAACCGCAGGAAAGAGGCUUCACAGGAGACAUGAAAUGUAAGCAUGAGGUCGCUACUUGCAAAAGUAAAGGUCAGAGAGAGCAGCUUAUGUAGUUAUUUGUUCCAUUUCUGGAUUCCUGACUAGUCUAUAAACCUCAGGAGGGUACAGAUGCAUCCAGUUUAUUCUCUCACAGAGCUUUUAGCAAUCAGUGUGGUACCUGGCAUAGUAAGUGUUCAAGAAAUACUGAACGAAUGAAUAAAAUGUACAAAGUGUGUGGAGAAAUUUAAGUACAUGAAGAGAAUUUGAGGAACUGGGAAAAGACUGGAGAGAUAUAGGUUAAAGAAUUUGCAGGAACCAGAUAACAGAGGAUCUUGGCAGAGACACUAUGAAUCUUGAACAUUAUCAAUGCAAUGG
rnacentral:lncRNA from 1 species